rnacentral:rRNA from 1 species
AUACGAAAGGUGCAAGCGUUGUUCGGAUUUACUGGGCGUAAAGAGAUCGUAGGUGGUUUGUUAAGUCGGAUGUGAAAUCCCGGGGCUCAACCCCGGAACUGCAUCCGAUACUGGCAGGCUAGAGUUUGGGAGGGGUAAGCGGAAUUCCGUGUGUAGCAGUGAAAUGCGUAGAUAUACGGAGGAACACCUGAGGCGAAGGCGGCUUACUGGACCAAUACUGACACUGAGGAUCGAAAGCGUGGGUAGCAAACAGGAUUAGAAACCCUAGUAGUCC